CCCUUAGAUGUUCUGGGCCGCACGCGCGCUACACUGAUGCAUUCAACGAGUCUAAAACCUGGUCUGAUAGGGCUGGGUAAUCUUUUGAAAGUGCAUCGUGAUUGGGAUAGAUGAUUGCAAUUCUUCAUCUUCAACGAGGAAUGCCUAGUAAACGCAAGUCAUCAGCUUGCAUUGAUUACGUCCCUGCCCUUUGUACACACCGCCCGUCGCUCCUACCGAUUGAAUGAUCCGAUGAAUACCAUGGAUUGAGAGUACGAAUGGGUUCGCUCAUUUCUGCUGCUCGAGAAGUGGAGUAAAUCUUAUCAUUUAGAGGAAGGAGAAGUCGCAACA
rnacentral:rRNA from 1 species